GAUGAAGAACGCAGCGAAAUGCGAUAAGUAAUGUGAAUUGCAGAAUUCAGUGAAUCAUCGAAUCUUUGAACGCACAUUGCGCCCGCUAGUAUUCUGGCGGGCAUGCCUGUCCGAGCGUCAUUUCAACCCUCAAGCCCCCGGGCUUGGUGUUGGGGAUCGGCGAGCCUCCGCGCCCGCCGUCCCCUUAAUCUAGUGGCGGUCUCGCUGUAGCUUCCUCUGCGUAGUAGCACACCUCGCACUGGGAAACAGCGCGGCCACGCCGUUAAACCCCCAACUUCUGAACGUUUGACCUCGGAUCAGGUAGGAAUACCCGCUGAACUUAAGCAUAUCAAUAAGCGGAGGA
rnacentral:misc_RNA from 1 species